UUAACUUAUUUAGUUAUAGGUUCAGAAUUCAAAAAUAAACAGAGUUUACUGGGCCACCGACAGGCUUGUCCGCGCCUACAGGGUAGGUCCUACAGGGUAGGUGCCGUCCGGGUAGGCGCGACCUGCCGAGGCAACGCGAGGUAUGUCCACAUGGGUUGGGAGUUUUUUAGACUCUAUAAUGAUCCCUCCGCUGGUUCACCAACGGAGA
rnacentral:misc_RNA from 1 species